AGUGAACGCUGGCGGCGUGCCUAAUACAUGCAAGUCGAACGGAUUGGCGCACGGGUGAGUAAUAUAUAGCUAAUCUGCCCCUUGCUGGAGGACAACAGUUAGAAAUGACUGCUAAUACUCCAUAGAAAGGGAUGAGACUAUAUCGUAUACGCUAGUCGGUGGGGUAAAGGCCUACAGAGGCUAUGAAGCGUAACUGGUCUGCGAGGAUGAUCAGGCAAAUUGGAACUUAGCAACGGGCAAAAGUCCUACGGGAGGUAUCAGUAGGGAAGAUUUCGCCAUGGGGGAAACCCUGACGCAGCAACGUCGCGUGGAGGUUGACACUUUUCGGAUCGUAAACUCCUUUUGUUAGGGAAGCGGUAACUAACGAAUAAGCACCGGAUAACUCCGUGCAAGCCGCAGCGGUAAUUC
rnacentral:rRNA from 1 species